AACGAACGCUGGCGGCAGGCUUAACACAUGCAAGUCGAACGGGCGUAGCAAUACGUCAGUGGCAGACGGGUGAGUAACACGUGGGAAUAUCCCUCUCAGUUCGGAAUAACUCAGGGAAACUUGAGCUAAUACCGGAUACGUCCUUCGGGAGCAAGAUUUAUCGCUGAGAGAUUAGCCCGCGUCUGAUUAGCUAGUUGGUGAGCUAAUGUCUCACCAAGGCGACGAUCAGUAACUUGUCUGAGAGGAUGAUCAGCCACACUGGGACUGAGACACGGCCCAGACUCCUACGGGAGGCAGCAGUGGGGAAUAUUGGACAAUGGGGGCAACCCUGAUCCAGCCAUGCCGCGUGAGUGAUGAAGGCCUUAGGGUUGUAAAGCUCUUUUGCCAGGGAAGAUAAUGACUGUACCUGGAGAAUAAGCCCCGGCUAACUUCGUGCCAGCAGCCGCAGUAA
rnacentral:rRNA from 1 species